GAUGAACGCUGGCGGCGUGCCUAAUACAUGCAAGUCGAGCGAACAGACGAGGAGCUUGCUCCUUUGACGUUAGCGGCGGACGGGUGAGUAACACGUGGGUAACCUACCUAUAAGACUGGGAUAACUUCGGGAAACCGGAGCUAAUACCGGAUAAUAUUUCGAACCGCAUGGUUCGAUAGUGAAAGAUGGCUUUGCUAUCACUUAUAGAUGGACCUGCGCCGUAUUAGCUAGUUGGUAAGGUAACGGCUUACCAAGGCAAAGAUACGUAGCCGACCUGAGAGGGUGAUCGGCCACACUGGAACUGAGACACGGUCCAGACUCCUACGGGAGGCAGCAGUAGGGAAUCUUCCGCAAUGGGCGAAAGCCUGACGUAGCAACGCCGCGUGAGUGAUGAAGGUCUUCGGAUCGUAAAACUCUGUUAUUAGGGAAGAAUAAACGUGUAAGUAACUGUGCACGUCUUGACGGUACCUAAUCAGAAAGCCACGGCUAACUACGUG
rnacentral:rRNA from 1 species